rnacentral:rRNA from 1 species
UUCCGGUUGAUCCUGCCGGAAGUCACUGCUAUCGGGGUUCGAUUAAGCCAUGCGAGUCGAGAGGGUUCAGACCCUCGGCGGACUGCUCAGUAACACGUGGAUAACCUGCCCUAUGGUGGAGAAUAACCCCGGGAAACUGGGGAUAAUACUCCAUAGACUAGAGAUACUGGAAUGUUCUUUAGUUCAAAGUUCCGGCGCCAUAGGAUGGAUCUGCGGCCGAUUAGGUUGUUGUUGGGGUAACGGCCCAACAAGCCUGUAAUCGGUACGGGUUGUGGGAGCAAGAGCCCGGAGAUGGAAUCUGAGACACGAUUCCAGGCCCUACGGGGCGCAGCAGGCGCGAAAACUUUACAAUGCAGGAAACUGUGAUAAGGGAACCCCGAGUGCUCGUACACGCGAGCUGUCCAGGUGUGCAAAAAGCAUCUGAAGAAAGGGCCGGGCAAGACCGGUGCCAGCCGCCGCGGUAGUACCGGCGGCUCGAGUGGUGACCACUAUUAUUGGGCUUAAAGCGUUCGUAGCUGGACUCUUAAGUCUCUUGGGAAAUCCGCCGGCUCAACCGGCGGGCGUCUAAGAGAUACUGGGAGUCUAGGAACCGGAAGAGGUAAGAGGUACUUCGGGGGUAGGAGUGAAAUCCUGUAAUCCUCGAGGGACCACCUAUGGCGAAGGCAUCUUACCAGGACGGCU